rnacentral:lncRNA from 12 species
CAGCAACUCUCUAGGCAACUGCUGAAUUUAUAAGAAUACAGAUGGUGCCUGCCAUUUCUUUUUUUCAGCACCACACUGCAUUCCUCAUCUGACAUGUGGAACUUGUUUGGUACCAUAAUGCAGCAGCUGGAGACACUUUUCUUAGAGAUGCCUUCCCUCAAAAUCGUGAGAAAUGUCUCUGCAUCUGACUUCAUAAUUCAAAUACCUCUGCACACGAUGGAGC